UACAGAGGUCCCGAGCGUUGUUCGGAUUCAUUGGGCGUAAAGGGUGCGCAGGUGGCGGGGCAAGUCUGAUGUGAAAUCCCGGGGCUCAACUCCGGAACUGCAUUGGAUACUGCUUUGCUGGAGUACUGGAGAGGAGACUGGAAUUUACGGUGUAGCAGUGAAAUGCGUAGAGAUCGUAAGGAAGACCAGUGGCGAAGGCGAGUCUCUGGACAGUUACUGACACUGAGGCACGAAGGCCAGGGGAGCAAACGGG
rnacentral:rRNA from 1 species